rnacentral:rRNA from 1 species
UUAAGCGACUAAGCGUACACGGUGGAUGCCCUGGCAGUCAGAGGCGAUGAAGGACGUGCUAAUCUGCGAAAAGCGUCGGUAAGGUGAUAUGAACCGUUACAGCCGGCGAUGUCCGAAUGGGGAAACCCAGUGCAAUUCGUUGCACUAUCGUUAACUGAAUACAUAGGUUAACGAGGCGAACCGGGGGAACUGAAACAUCUAAGUACCCCGAGGAAAAGAAAUCAACCGAGAUUCCCCCAGUAGCGGCGAGCGAACGGGGAGCAGCCCAGAGUCUGAAUCAGCUUGUGUGUUAGUGGAACGGUCUGGAAAGUCCGACGGUACAGGGUGAUAGUCCCGUACACCAAAAUGCACAGGUUGUGAACUCGAAGAGUAGGGCGGGACACGUGGUAUCCUGUCUGAAUAUGGGGGGACCAUCCUCCAAGGCUAAAUACUCCUGACUGACCGAUAGUGAACCAGUACCGUGAGGGAAAGGCGAAAAGAACCCCGGCGAGGGGAGUGAAAAAGAACCUGAAACCGUGUACGUACAAGCAGUGGGAGCACCUUCGUGGUGUGACUGCGUACCUUUUGUAUAAUGGGUCAGCGACUUAUAUUCUGUAGCAAGGUUAACCGUAUAGGGGAGCCGCAGGGAAACCGAGUCUUAACUGGGCGUUAAGUUGCAGGGUAUAGACCCGAAACCCGGUGAUCUAGCCAUGGGCAGGUUGAAGGUUGGGUAACACUAACUGGAGGACCGAACCGACUAAUGUUGAAAAAUUAGCGGAUGACUUGUGGCUGGGGGUGAAAGGCCAAUCAAACCGGGAGAUAGCUGGUUCUCCCCGAAAGCUAUUUAGGUAGCGCCUCGUGAACUCAUCUUCGGGGGUAGAGCACUGUUUCGGCUAGGGGGUCAUCCCGACUUACCAACCCGAUGCAAACUACGAAUACCGAAGAAUGUUAUCACGGGAGACACACGGCGGGUGCUAACGUCCGUCGUGAAGAGGGAAACAACCCAGACCGCCAGCUAAGGUCCCAAAGUCAUGGUUAAGUGGGAAACGAUGUGGGAAGGCACAGACAGCCAGGAUGUUGGCUUAGAAGCAGCCAUCAUUUAAAGAAAGCGUAAUAGCUCACUGGUCGAGUCGGCCUGCGCGGAAGAUGUAACGGGGCUAAACCAUGCACCGAAGCUGCGGCAGCGACGCUUAUGCGUUGUUGGGUAGGGGAGCGUUCUGUAAGCCGUUGAAGGUGGCCUGUGAGGGUUGCUGGAGGCAUCAGAAGUGCGAAUGCUGACAUAAGUAACGAUAAAGCGGGUGAAAAGCCCGCUCGCCGGAAGACCAAGGGUUCCUGUCCAACGUUAAUCGGGGCAGGGUGAGUCGACCCCUAAGGCGAGGCCGAAAGGCGUAGUCGAUGGGAAACAGGUUAAUAUUCCUGUACUUGGUGUUACUGCGAAGGGGGGACGGAGAAGGCUAUGUUAGCCGGGCGACGGUUGUCCCGGUUUAAGCAUGUAGGCGGAACGAUUAGGUAAAUCCGGUCGUUUAUUAACGCUGAGGUGUGAUGACGAGGCACUACGGUGCUGAAGUAACAAAUGCCCUGCUUCCAGGAAAAGCCUCUAAGCAUCAGGUAACAUCAAAUCGUACCCCAAACCGACACAGGUGGUCAGGUAGAGAAUACCAAGGCGCUUGAGAGAACUCGGGUGAAGGAACUAGGCAAAAUGGUGCCGUAACUUCGGGAGAAGGCACGCUGGUGUGUAGGUGAAGCCCCUGCGGGUGGAGCUGAGACCAGUCGAAGAUACCAGCUGGCUGCAACUGUUUAUUAAAAACACAGCACUGUGCAAACACGAAAGUGGACGUAUACGGUGUGACGCCUGCCCGGUGCCGGAAGGUUAAUUGAUGGGGUUAGCGGUAACGCGAAGCUCUUGAUCGAAGCCCCGGUAAACGGCGGCCGUAACUAUAACGGUCCUAAGGUAGCGAAAUUCCUUGUCGGGUAAGUUCCGACCUGCACGAAUGGCGUAAUGAUGGCCAGGCUGUCUCCACCCGAGACUCAGUGAAAUUGAACUCGCUGUGAAGAUGCAGUGUACCCGCGGCAAGACGGAAAGACCCCGUGAACCUUUACUAUAGCUUGACACUGAACAUUGAGCCUUGAUGUGUAGGAUAGGUGGGAGGCUUUGAAGCGUGGACGCCAGUCUGCGUGGAGCCAACCUUGAAAUACCACCCUUUAAUGUUUGAUGUUCUAACGUUGGCCCCUUAUCGGGGUUGCGGACAGUGUCUGGUGGGUAGUUUGACUGGGGCGGUCUCCUCCCAAAGCGUAACGGAGGAGCACGAAGGUUAGCUAAUCCUGGUCGGACAUCAGGAGGUUAGUGCAAUGGCAUAAGCUAGCUUGACUGCGAGCGUGACGGCGCGAGCAGGUGCGAAAGCAGGUCAUAGUGAUCCGGUGGUUCUGAAUGGAAGGGCCAUCGCUCAACGGAUAAAAGGUACUCCGGGGAUAACAGGCUGAUACCGCCCAAGAGUUCAUAUCGACGGCGGGGUUUGGCACCUCGAUGUCGGCUCAUCACAUCCUGGGGCUGAAGUAGGUCCCAAGGGUAUGGCUGUUCGCCAUUUAAAGUGGUACGCGAGCUGGGUUUAGAACGUCGUGAGACAGUUCGGUCCCUAUCUGCCGUGG